GACGAACGCUGGCGGCGUGCUUAACACAUGCAAGUCGAACGGAAAGGCCCUGCUUUUGUGGGGUGCUCGAGUGGCGAACGGGUGAGUAACACGUGAGUAACCUGCCCUUGACUUUGGGAUAACUUCAGGAAACUGGGGCUAAUACCGGAUAGGAGCUCCUGCUGCAUGUUGUGGGUUGGAAAGUUUCGGCGGUUGGGGAUGGGCUGGCGGCUUAUCCGCUUGUUGGUGGGGUAGUGGCUUACCAAGGGUUUGACGGGUAGCCGGCCUGGGCGGGUGACCGGCCACAUGGGUACUGAGGGAGGCAGCAGACUCCAACGGGAGGCAGAAGUGGGGAAUAUUGCACAAUGGGCGGAAGCCUGAUACAACAACGCCGCGUGCGGGAUGACGUCCUUCGGGUGAUAAACCGAUUUCGCCUGUGACGAAGCGUGAGUGACGGUAAUGGGUAAAGAAGCACCGGCUAACUACGUG
rnacentral:rRNA from 1 species